AAGAUUGUGGGGUAGGGGAGCGUUCUGUAAGCCGUUGAAGGUGUGUUGUAAAGCAUGCUGGAGGUAUCAGAAGUGCGAAUGCUGACAUGAGUAACGAUAAUGGGGGUGAAAAACCCCCACGCCGGAAGACCAAGGGUUCCUGUCCAACGUUAAUCGGGGCAGGGUAAGUCGACCCCUAAGGCGAGGCUGAAAAGCGUAGUCGAUGGGAAACGGGUUAAUAUUCCCGUACUGCUUAUAAUUGCGAUGGGGGGACGGAGAAGGCUAGGUGGGCCUGGCGACGGUUGUCCAGGUUCAAGUGCGUAGGCUAAGAGACUAGGUAAAUCCGGUUUCUUGUUAGGCUGAGACACGACGUCGAGCACCUACGGGUGUGAAGUCAUUGAUGCCAUGCUUCCAGGAAAAGCCUCUAAGCUUCAGAUUAUAAGCAAUCGUACCCCAAACCGACACAGGUGGUCGGGUAGAGAAUACCAAGGCGCUUGAGAGAACUCGGGUGAAGGAACUAGGCAAAAUGGUACCGUAACUUCGGGAGAAGGUACGCUCUUGGCGGUGAAGUCCCUAGCGGAUGGAGCUACUGAGAGUCGCAGAUACCAGGUGGCUGCAACUGUUUAUUAAAAACACAGCACUGUGCAAAAUCGUAAGAUGACGUAUACGGUGUGACGCCUGCCCGGUGCCGGAAGGUUAAUUGAUGGGGUUAGACUUCGGUCGAAGCUCUUGAUCGAAGCCCCGGUAAACGGCGGCCGUAACUAUAACGGUCCUAAGGUAGCGAAAUUCCUUGUCGGGUAAGUUCCGACCUGCACGAAUGGCGUAAUGAUGGCCACGCUGUCUCCACCCGAGACUCAGUGAAAUUGAAAUCGCUGUGAAGAUGCAGUGUACCCGCGGCUAGACGGAAAGACCCCGUGAACCUUUACUACAGCUUGGCACUGAACAUUGAACCUACAUGUGUAGGAUAGGUGGGAGACUUAGAAGCGCAGUCGCUAGAUUGCGUGGAGUCGUCCUUGAAAUACCACCCUUGUAGUUUUGAUGUUCUAACGU
rnacentral:rRNA from 1 species